AUUGAACGCUGGCGGCAGGCCUAACACAUGCAAGACGAGCGGUAGAGAGAAGCUUGCUUCUCUUGAGAGCGGCGGACGGGUGAGUAAUGCCUAGGAAUCUGCCUGGUAGUGGGGGAUAACGUUCGGAAACGGACGCUAAUACCGCAUACGUCCUACGGGAGAAAGCCGGGGACCUUCGGGCCUUGCGCUAUCAGAUGAGCCUAGGUCGGAUUAGCUAGUUGGUGGGGUAAUGGCUCACCAAGGCGACGAUCCGUAACUGGUCUGAGAGGAUGAUCAGUCACACUGGAACUGAGACACGGUCCAGACUCCUACGGGAGGCAGCAGUGGGGAAUAUUGGACAAUGGGCGAAAGCCUGAUCCAGCCAUGCCGCGUGUGUGAAGAAGGUCUUCGGAUUGUAAAGCACUUUAAGUUGGGAGGAAGGGCAGUAAAUUAAUACUUUGCUGUUUUGACGUUACCGACAGAAUAAGCACCGGCUAACUCUGUG
rnacentral:rRNA from 1 species